GCCGGAGUGGCGGAAUUGGCAGACGCGCAGGAUUCAAAAUCCUGUUCUGGCAACAGAGUGUGGGUUCGAUUCCCACCUCCGGCA
rnacentral:tRNA from 2 species